rnacentral:tRNA from 2 species
UCCGGAGUAGCGCAGCGGUAGCGCAGUUGGCUGUUAACCAAUUGGUCGCCGGUUCGAAUCCGGCCUCCGGAGCCA